CUCAAAGCAGAAGCAGAAUAGAUAGGUUCAGAGGGAGGAAGAUAAGGAGGUUGCUUUAGCAGGUUCAGAAUUCUAGUCUUAUGGAAAACCACAGACAGACAGACAGACACAAUGGCUACAUAAAUAUAUGAAUUUACUUGAUAAUGCCUAAUGGCUUAUGUUACAAUAUAAUGACCCCAACACCAGAAUAUUUGUGAAGGAUUUCCUAUCCAAGUGUUCCCUGGCCUGUCUGUCCACCUAUCACAGCCACCAGUUCCCACAGGCAGCCCUUAGCUUCUAGCCAUUGUAUUAGGACAAGAGCACACUGCGUUGUGAUGGUCUCUGCCACUGAGGCUGUGCAAGAGAAACACUACGUGUGACACAUGGAGCCGUCACCAGGGAGACCUAUGCGGGAGACAUGACUGCACUGCGAAUAACAAGUAUCUCUUGCAAACACACUAUGACCUUCCAGACCUUAAGAGAGAGGCAUUUCUGAAGCAUCGCUGUUUUCAAAGAUCAAUAUUCCAAUUUUCCUGUAAGGAGGGUUCUGUCCUCAUGUGUCCUCGUGUGCAUGUAUUAUGAGACCCCAACACAAACUCGAAGUCUGCUGCUAAUAGUCAGCUUCACACGGCACUUCUGGGUUACUACUGUCUGUAUUUUAUGGUGAGGCCCCUACACGAUGAACAUUCUGAGAAAGCGCCUUUCCUUCCCCUGACACAGCAAGCAUCCCAUGAGAAGCAAAGCCCAUUCUUUCAGCUGCUUUUGUUUAUGGCCAGGAAAGGAAGCCACAGAUUCUCUGAGUAGCAUCAAUGAGGACUCUGGAGCCUGGUCACACUUCCUCCUUCACAGGUGGCUUAAUGAGGGUGUAGGUCAUCACAUACAUUCCCAGCGUCUGCAACCAAUUACGUGAGAGAAAAGUUCCAAGAAAGCUUUGGCGAUGGAAUGCAAGAGAAUCAGCUUUUACAUCAUUUGGUAGCUCACUGCGUCCAGAAAUAUCAGAAUUUAAUGCCUAUUUCUCUGUGACGGACAGGUGAGUGUAUUCUAUUGCUCUGUCAAAGGUAACGGCGAAGAGCCAUUUCCCCCUCUGGAUCCUAUGUUCUCUUCCACUCCUGACUUCCCACUCCAGAAAGGCCUGGCAAAGCUCUGAGCGCCCACCAAACAGCAAACUGCAGCACUGCAACAGUAGAGAG
rnacentral:lncRNA from 1 species